ensembl:lncRNA
AUGAACAUCAGUCCCGUUCUUGCUCUUCCUUUUCCGGCUGCUCCUCUUCCUCUGUCCUUCCUCUUCUUUCUGCUUCCUCCUCCUCUUCCUCCUCUUCCUCCUCUUCUUCGUCCUCCUCCACCUCCUCUUCCUCUUCCUCCCCUCCUCUUCUUCCUCCUCCUCCUCUUCCUCUUCCUCCCCCUCCUCUUCCUCCCCCUCUUCCUCCUCCUCCCCUCUUCUUCCUCCUCCUCUUCCUCUUCUUCUUCCUCCUCCACCUUCUCCUCCUCUUCCCCGUCUUCCUCCCCCUCCUCUUCCUCCCCCUCUUCCUCCUCCUCCCCUCUUCUUCCUCCUCCUCUUCCUCUUCGUCCUCCUCGUUCUCUUCCUCCUCUUCCUCCCUUCCUCUUCCUCCCCCUCUACUUCCUCCUCCUCCUCCCCCUCUUCCUGUUCCUCUUCCUCUUCUUCCUCCUCUUCCUCCUUCUCUUCUUCUUCCUCCCCUCCUCUUCCUCCUCCUCCUCCUCUUCCUUCUCUUCUUCUCCUCGUCUUCUUCCUCUUCUUCCUCCUCUUCCUCCCCCUCCUCUUCUUCCUCCUCCUCUUCCUCUUGUUCUUCCUCCUCCUCCUCCUCCUCUUCCCCAUCUUCCUCCCCCUCUUCUUCCUCCCCCUCUUCUUCCUCCUCUUCCUCCUCUUCUUCCUCCUCUUCCUCCUCCUCCCCUCUUUCUCCUCCUCUUCCUCUUCCUCUUCUUCUUCCUCCUCUUCCUCCUCUUCUUCCUCCUCUUCUUCCUCCUCGUCCUCUUCCUCCUCUUUCUCCCCCUCUUCUUCCUCCUCCUCUUUUUCCUCCCCCUCCUCCUCUUCCUCCUCCUCUUCCUUCUCUUCUUCUCCUCGUCCUCUUCCUCUUCUUCCUCCUCUUCCUCCUCCUCCUCUUCCUCCUCUUUCUCCCCCUCCUCUUCCUCUUCUUCCUCCCCCUCUUUUUCUCCUCCUUUUCUACUCCUCGUCCUCUUCCUCCUCGUCCUCUUCCUCCUCUUCCUCCUCCUCUUUUUCCUUCUCCUCUUUCUCUGUCCUUCCUCUUCUUUCUGCUUCCUCCUCCUCUUCCUCCCCUUCUCCUCUUCCUCCUCCUCCUCCUCCUCUUCCUCCUCCUCUUCUUCCUCCUCUUUCUCCCCCUCCUCUUCCUCCUCUUCCUCUUCUUCCUCUUCUUCCUCCUCCUCUUUUUCCUUGUCCUCUUCCUCUUCUUUCUCCUCCUCCUCUUCCCCGUCUUCCUCCCCUCCUCUUCCUCCCCUCCUCCUCUUCCUCCUCCUCCUCCUCCUCCCCCCCUCCAUUCCCGGAUCCCGGAUCUGCCCAGCAACCGCUGACUCAUCAGCGCUGCGCGAUCUGAUUGGCCGAUUUCACCCGCGCCCCUCUGUGAUUGGCUGA